UACGUAGGGUGCGAGCGUUGUCCGGAAUUACUGGGCGUAAAGAGCUCGUAGGUGGUUUGUCGCGUUGUUCGUGAAAACUCACAACUCAAUUGUGGGCGUGCGGGCGAUACGGGCAGACUGGAGUACUGCAGGGGAGACUGGAAUUCCUGGUGUAGCGGUGGAAUGCGCAGAUAUCAGGAGGAACACCGGUGGCGAAGGCGGGUCUCGUGGGCCGUAACUGACGCUGAGGAGCGAAAGCAUGGGGAGCGAACAGG
rnacentral:rRNA from 1 species